GAGUGACAGGUGCUGCAUGGCUGUCGUCAGCUCGUGUCGUGAGAUGUUGGGUUAAGUCCCGCAACGAGCGCAACCCUCGUCUUUAGUUGCCAUCAUUUAGUUGGGCACUCUAAAGAAACCGCCGGUGAUAAGCCGGAGGAAGGUGGGGAUGACGUCAAGUCCUCAUGGCCCUUACACGCUGGGCUACACACGUGCUACAAUGGCGGUGACAGUGGGCAGCAAACCCGCGAGGGUGAGCUAAUCUCCAAAAGCCGUCUCAGUUCGGAUUGUUCUCUGCAACUCGAGAGCAUGAAGGCGGAAUCGCUAGUAAUCGCGGAUCAGCACGCCGCGGUGAAUACGUUCCCAGGCCUUGUACACACCGCCCGUCACACCAUGGGAGUUGGAUUGACCCGAAGGCGCUGAGCUAACCCGCAAGGGAGGCAGGCGAC
rnacentral:rRNA from 1 species